rnacentral:rRNA from 1 species
GCUCAGAAACUUAAAGGAAUUGACGGGGGCCCGCACAAGCGGUGGAGCAUGUGGUUUAAUUCGAUGAUACGCGAGGAACCUUACCUGGGCUCAAAUGUAUGUUGACGUAUUCUGAAAGGGAUACUUCUUCGGACAAUAUACAAGGUGCUGCAUGGUUGUCGUCAGCUCGUGCCGUGAGGUGUCGGGUUAAGUCCCAUAACGAGCGCAACCCCUAUCAUUAGUUGCCAUCAGGUCAAGCUGGGGACUCUAAUGAAACUGCCUACGCAAGUAGUGAGGAAGGUGGGGAUGACGUCAAAUCAGCACGGCCCUUACGUCCAGGGCUACACACGUGCUACAAUGGCCGGUACAGAGCGCAGCGAGGCCGCGAGGCGGAGCGAAUCGCUUAAAGCCGGUCCCAGUACGGAUUGGAGUCUGCAACCCGACUCCAUGAAGUUGGAAUCGCUAGUAAUCGCGCAUCAGCAUGGCGCGGUGAAUACGUUCCCGGGCCUU